AACAGACAUCCUCUGGAAGCAAACUGCUGCUGGGUGUUCUUACCUUUGCCUUUCUUACUGUCUCUCUUCUGGGUUCCUUUCUUUGUCUUCUUUUGGGGUUUUGGCCUUUUUUUUGUUAAGGGUUUUGGUUUUCUUUGAUGGUUAGUUAACCAAAUAGAAAACAAAAGAUAUUAUUAAUAGAUAGAUAGACUUCUCAGCCGAAGAUUCAAGAAAAGAGAAAAAAUUAAGCAGGCGAAAGGCGUGGAUUGGUACAAUUAGGCUUGGGGAUCUUCGGGUUGGUUUGUUUGUUUGUUUUUUUUUUUUGAUGAUGAUAACGAUUGCGCAAUGGGGAGUGAUUUUCCAUUUUAGAAGCUGAUAAAUGUUGGUUGAGCAUUCCUGUCAAAUAAGAAAAACUUUUCUUCUGGGCAGGCGUGAAUGGCAAGGUAGCAGAAAAUUAUAACUGCUGCUUUCAUUGACUCAACUCCUUCAGCGGCAGAGUCUGCGUCAGAUACUCUGAAAAGGUGGAAGUAAACAAAGGAAAAGAACAGAAAGGAAUUCCAGUUUGGAGUAUGCAAAGAAUUUUCUCUUCCUAAAGCGAAGAGAUUUUUCUUCUUUUAAUUUUGGGUUCUUGGUUUUUGUGUAACGUGCGACAGCAAGUAAUAAUGUCAUCGAAUACUUCCUCAGAGAUGCAAGAACCGAGCAUCGACACAGAUAAGCUGAGUUACGAAAUCUUUUCGAUUCUGGAAAGUAAAUUUUUAUUCGGGUACGAUGAUCAUCAGAAGCUAUGGAUUCCAAAGCCGAUCUCUCCGGCUUCUGAACAGAAGGUUGAGCCGUUAGUUCAACAGGGUGAUGAGAAUUCCCAGUCAGCUAUCAAGAACCAGAGAGGUAAAAUCUGUAUUAUGAGUAUCGAUAGCGGUGGCAUGAGAGGGAUUCUUUGUGGGAAAGCUUUGGCUUAUCUCGAACACGCGUUGAAAUCCAAGUCCGGUAAUCCAAAUGCUCGAAUCGCCGACUUUUUCGACGUCGCCGCCGGUUCUGGCGUUGGUGGUAUCUUCACCGCCAUGCUUUUCGGCACCAAAGAUAACAACCGCCCGAUUUAUACCGCUGAGGAGACGUGGCGGUUCCUUGCUGAUAAUGGGAAGCGGAUAUACCGUUCCGGUUCGGGUAAAAACGGCGGUAUUUUGAAGAAAAUUUUGAAAAACGGUUCGACCGGGUCCUGUUCAACCGGUUUGGAGAAGGCGAUGAAGGAGGCUUUCGCAGCGGAUGGAAGGAGUUUGACGUUGAAGGAUACUCUAAAACCGGUUUUGAUUCCGUGUUAUGAUCUUUCCAGCACGGCGCCAUUUUUGUUUUCAAGGGCGGACGCCUUGGAGACGGAUAGUUUUGAUUUUCCCUUAUGGGAGGUUUGUCGGGCAACGUCAGCUGAACCGGGUUUAUUCGACCCGGUUUUGAUGCGGUCUGUUGACGGUGAGACCAGGUGCGUGGCGGUUGAUGGUGGGUUGGCUAUGAGCAACCCAACGGCUGCAGCAAUUACGCACGUGUUGCAUAAUAAACAGGAGUUUCCUUUUGUUAGAGGCGUUGAGGAUUUGUUGGUGCUGUCGUUGGGGACCGGUCAGCUACUUGAAGUUAGCUAUGAAUAUGAGCAAGUCAAGAAUUGGAGGGUCAAGGAUUGGGCCAAGCCAAUGGCCCGGAUAUCCGGUGACGGUUCGGCCGACUCGGUGGACCAAGCCGUAGCCAUGGCGUUCGGACAAUGCAGAAGCAGUAACUACGUCAGAAUUCAGGCAAAUGGGUCCAGUUUAGGUCGGUGUGGCCCUAAUGUAGAUACAGACCCCAGCCCCAGCAAUGUAACUAUGCUGAUAGGGAUAGCUGAGGAAAUGCUGAAGCAGAAAAAUGUUGAAUCAGUCCUCUUUGGAGGUAAAAGGAUUGGAGAACAAAGUAACUUUGAGAAGUUGGAUUGGUUUGCUGGAGAACUUGUGCUUGAGCAUCAAAGGAGGAGUUGUAGGAUAGCUCCCACUGUUGCUUUCAAGCAAGCAACCCCUAAGACAAACUAGGAGUUACUCUCAACAAAAAUUUGUACCAAAACCUAAAGGAAAGAGAAAAAAAAAAAACAAAAGGUUAAAAAAUGAUAUCUAAAAAAAAGAAAGAAGAAGCAGAAAGUAACAUAGCAGCUUUUACUUUUUCUAAGUGAAGAUGAGCAAAGGAAGAGUCCAGGGGAAUUGAGUGAAACAAACUACUGUAAAAACGGGUUGCAAGAUCUUAGUGGGAUACUUUGCCUACUAGAGGACAGGCAUGAUGGUGUCCACUCAACCUUUCUACGGUAGCUAGGAACCAAGAUCAAAAGCAGCAACAGUCUUAAGCUUUUGGAGGUCAAACUAGAAUCCGGCUGUACAAUCUUUGGAUUUUUCAAAACAAAAAUGAAAGUUAUGAGGUGGGAAAAACUGUUUUCAUAUAUUUCUUCCUAUUCCCCACCUUUUUCUUUUCUCCCAAAUCCUAAUUGUUUUUAUCUUGUCAUCUUCCCUUUUCCUAUCAAUUCUUAUUCCCAAACCCAGAAACGUAGCCAAAGUUCUUUGUCUGACCUGUGGUUUUUCCUUUCCAUGUUUUGUCUUUCCUCAUUUUUAAAUUUAUUGCAUAGAAAUUGUGGUGGUGGAGAAGGGAUUUUAGAGUAUCUUUUUCUCAAGCAACCGACCUUAUCCUUUGAGAUUGUAGGAUUGGUGGAUGGGCCACCAUUGGACAGAGGCUAGGGAAAUGAAUGAACCCUUUCUACAUGUAGACAACUUUCAUUCUUGCACCUUGAAACUCUGUUAAAAGUGUAGGACUCUCCUCUUUUUAGUUUUAUCCUUUACAAAAAUUGUUCAUCAUCUUAUGAUUGUUUGAAGCAAAAACAAAUUGCAAACUCUUCUUUUUGUAAAUUUUUUUUACUUAAUCUUAAAAGAGUGCUGGUGGGUGGUAGUUGAUGCUUGCU